rnacentral:lncRNA from 1 species
GGAAAUAAUAUAUGUCCUUUGGAAGAAUGGUCCAACACUUAGAAAAAAAAUGAGGCGGGUGAACAGUAACCACGCCUACUGGAAAUUGCCUUUUCCUGCCGAACAGAUUUUACGAAAAUGGGCAUAACUUCUUCGUCCGAACUCCGAAUGAGGUGAAACGAAGUGCGUUAGGUAGCUAACUCAAAGGGCUUUCCAUGGAUAUAUUAUUGGCCACCCAAAUAAUUUGUGUG